rnacentral:rRNA from 1 species
AUUGAACGCUGGCGGCACGCUUAACACAUGCAAGUCGAACUAGUGGCGGACGGGUGAGUAAUGCUUGGGAAUCUGGCUUAUGGAGGGGGAUAACGACGGGAAACUGUCGCUAAUACCGCGUACCAUAGGAUGAGCCCAAGUGGGAUUAGGGAGUUGGUGGGUUAAUGGCCUACCAAGCCGACGAUCUCUAGCUGGUCUGAGCGGCUGACCAGCCACACCGGGGCUGAGACAGGGCCCGUCCUCAUACGGUAGGCAGCAGUGGGGAAUAUUGCGCAAUGGGGGCUGCCUGACGCAGCCAUGCCGCGUGAAUGAAGAAGGCCUUCGGGUUGUAAAGUACUUUCGGUGACGAGGCGUUAAUCACAGAAGAAGCACCGGCUAACUCCGUGCCAGCAGCCGCGGUAAUUC